rnacentral:tRNA from 1 species
GAGGUUGUGGCUCAUUGGUAGAAUGCUCACCUGGCACAUGCGAGGCCCUGGGUUUGAUCCUCAGCACCACA